AACGUAUCCUGCACAAGUUUGAAUCUCUCUUAGUAAGGACUAACUGACUGGCUGUCUGUUUUCAAUUAAACGGUCAUUCCCUCAUAAAAGCUUUUAUAGCACAAACAUUUCCUGGGCAAGUUUGAAUUUCUCUAAGUGAGUUCUGAUGGACAGCCCUUCACUCAUAAAACCUUUUAAAGGUUAGCACGAAUGCGUCCAGCAUAAUUUUGGAUCUUUACCAUUGAGGAGACUGGCUGACUGUUCUCGACCAACCAUCAUUCACACGCAAAAACUUUAAAGGUACC